AGUGAACGCUGGCGGCGUGCCUAAUACAUGCAAGUCGAACGAUGAAGUCCUAGCUUGCUAGGAUGGAUUAGUGGCGCACGGGUGAGUAAUAUAUAGUUAAUCUGCCCUACACAGAGGAACAACAGUUGGAAACGGCUGCUAAUACCUCAUACUCCUAUUUGACAUAAGUUAAAUAGGAAAAGUCUUUUCGGUGUAGGAUGAGACUAUAUCGUAUCAGCUAGUUGGUAAGGUAAUGGCUUACCAAGGCUAUGACGCGUAACUGGUCUGAGAGGAUGAUCAGUCACAUUGGAACUGAGACACGGUCCAAACUCCUACGGGAGGCAGCAGUAAGGAAUAUUGCGCAAUGGGGGAAACCCUGACGCAGCAACGCCGCGUGGAGGAUGACACUUUUCGGAGCGUAAACUCCUUUUAUCAGGAAAGAAUAAUGACGGUACCUGAUGAAUAAGCACCGGCUAACUCCGUG
rnacentral:rRNA from 1 species